rnacentral:rRNA from 1 species
GACGAACGCUGGCGGCGUGCCUAACACAUGCAAGUCGAACGGGUUCUUUUAAGAAGUUUGCUUCUUGGCUGAACUAGUGGCGGACGGGUGAGUAACGCGUGAGCAAUCUGCCCAUAAGAGGGGGAUAACGUCUGGAAACGGACGCUAAUACCGCAUAACAUGCAAGGCCGGCAUCGGCAAUGCAUCAAAGGAGAAAUCCGCUUAUGGAUGAGCUCGCGCCCGAUUAGAUAGUUGGCGGGGUAACGGCCCACCAAGUCGACGAUCGGUAGCCGGACUGAGAGGUUGAACGGCCACAUUGGGACUGAGACACGGCCCAGACUCCUACGGGAGGCAGCAGUGAGGAAUAUUGGUCAAUGGGCGGAAGCCUGAACCAGCCAAGUAGCGUGAAGGAUGACUGCCCUAUGGGUUGUAAACUUCUUUUAUAAGGGAAUAAAACGUCUUACGUGUAAGAUUUUGUAUGUACCUUAUGAAUAAGCAUCGGCUAACUCCGUGCCAGCCGCC